GCAAAGAACAUAGAGAUUUUGGCAGCUGACAGUCAAGCUACGCAAUGCUUUUACCAUACAUAAGGCAAUUUAUUUAUAUUCUUGUAGCUCCAAGCAGGUCUUCAGUAGGACAUAACUAUCUCUUAUGCUUGCUAUCUGUACAGCUGUGAAUUUCAUCAAGCUCUGAUGUAGUACUCCUGAAUUUAAAGGAAGACCUCACAGAACAGCAAAGAGCCAGGCUGUAUCUAGAAAUUCAUCAAAAGCAACUUCUCUCCACUUCAGUUCUUCUCAGCUGUUUCAGGAGUUGCUGUUUAUCCCUGGGUGCCAGAGGGAUGGGCAAAAUAAGAAAGAUGAUGCGCACAGACUUGGAUGGAGACAUACUGGACAAGAAUUUCCUGCUUCAAUGGUACACACACUGCAGCAUAUGUACCAGAAUACGCAGGAACAAGUGAUACAAGACUCCCCGCCUUUUACCAAUCACUGUCCGCAAACAUUAUAAUGAAAAAUUCUAGCCAUUUUCCCAUCUCAGAGCAUUCUUCAUGAUAGCUAGCAUAAGAGAGAGAUUACGGAGACAGUGGAUGCAUCAGUCUAAUAUUUUUAAGAGACAAACUUUGCAAAAUGUUAUUGAUUAAAAUGCUCUUGAUGAAAUGAUGAGGAUAUCACUUCUUUUUUACCUAAAGGACAAAAAAAAAAUGGUAAGUUCCGAUAUCUUUCAGUACUUUUUUUUUACAUGGACAGAUGAUAGAAUGCCAAAGAAAAUCAUACAAACAAAACCUUCAUCAGUCUG
rnacentral:lncRNA from 1 species